UCGGGGGCGGUUGCAGCGGGCGGCGGGCGGGUGGGGUGAGGGUCUCGUCCCGCCCCACGCACACGCGGCGCUCCCUGCAGCUGGGAGCUGCCGGAUGUGUCCUGUGGGAGCUCCACGGCUUCUGCAGAGCCCUCGGCUCCGAGAGGAGUUCCCGCCUGCACUGAAAGAAUAGCUCAACAUCUGUCAUCCCAUUCUCUGCCAUGGCCCAAAAUCAGGAAGACUACAGCUGUCCUACUCCUUUCAGAUACUUCUGGGACAGAGAGGUUGGAAAUUACACUACAAAUGCUGAGUGCUGGAUGAAGAUGAAAACAAGAGAUGUACAUUAGUGCAUUCUUUGCAAGCCCCCAAAUAGUAUCUUUUAUGAUAUCUCUGUAUGGAAAAGAGGGAAAGGAAUGGGGAGGAAGGGAAAAGGCUGGGAAGACUAUGUUACCACUUUAAAAAAUGUUUAACCACAAACUUUCAUCAGUUCAUUUGUUUAAUAUCUAGCAAAUUAGUAAAUAUACAUAUAUGUAUAAAAUAGAAA